rnacentral:piRNA from 1 species
UGUGAAGAUUCUGAGGCCAUAGAAUUUGGUC